GGAUCGGGCUGCUCUGACCUCAGCUGAACAUGCUUGUCAAAAGCCCCAGAGUCCCCUGGGCAUGACAGAGUUUGGGGCACACUUAGGGAGAGGGCCCUACAGACCUCUGGGCUCGCUGUCUGUAGAGGCCUGGGCCACAGUCCCGGAGUAACCAGUGGGCAGGGGCUGCCCUUUGACAUCCUGUUCAGCUGUGGUUGUCGUCAGCCUGUUUGGUGAUAGAAGAGGGACAGCUGGAGUCCAUGGGGAUGAGGAGCAACAUUCUCAGCAAACCAUCCAACGGCAACUCCUGUGAUCACAAAAGUCAAGCACUGAUGGAAAUGAAGACCACAACCCCAAUUCCUCAGGUGCCGGAUUGAUGGGACUGCAAAUGUGUAAAGUCUUGCACAGGAAACCCCCCAGCACAGCCAUUCAGAGGCUCUCAACUCCUGCUGGACCCGAACACAAGAAACCAUGAGGCCCAGACCCCAUCUCUCAUUUUGCCCCUUGGGAAACGGUGCCUGAAAGAGAACUACAUUUUCUUUUCUUAAUGUUCUUCAGCUAAAACAAGUGGGUGUAGGGAAGCGGCUACUUGGAAAAGAAAUUCUCUAAAUUGCCUGAAAAAUCAAUCACAACCCGAGAACCAAAUAUUUUGAAACACAGCAUAUUUAGGAAGUUUGAGGAAGUUUUAAAAUAUCUCCAGAAGGUUUGUGUUUACCCCAGCACAAUGUCUGUCUCGUGACCCAGAGCUUUAUCUUCCAAAACCUACUUGAGCAACUUGAUUAAUAAGAACAUUUUUGAGAAUGCACCUCUAACACAUACAUGUUUAUUAUGAUUU